UACGUAGGGUGCGAGCGUUAAUCGGAAUUACUGGGCGUAAAGCGCGCGUAGGCGGACCUGCAAGUCGGGGGUGAAAGCCCGAGGCUCAACCUCGGAACUGCCUUCGAUACUGCGGGUCUCGAGUCCGGGAGAGGUGAGUGGAAUUCCUAGUGUAGAGGUGAAAUUCGUAGAUAUUAGGAAGAACACCAGUGGCGAAGGCGGCUCACUGGCCCGGUACUGACGCUGAGGCGCGAAAGCGUGGGGAGCAAACAGG
rnacentral:rRNA from 1 species